rnacentral:rRNA from 1 species
GACGAACGCUGGCGGCGUGCCUAAUACUUGCAAGUCGAACGCACUCUCGUUUAGAUUGAAGGAGUUUGCUCCUGAUUGAUAAACAUUUGAGUGAGUGGCGGACGGGUGAGUAACACGUGGGUAACCUGCCCUAAAGUGGGGGAUAACAUUUGGAAACAGAUGCUAAUACCGCAUAAAACCUAACACCGCAUGGUGUAGGGUUGAAAGAUGGUUUCGGCUAUCACUUUAGGAUGGACCCGCGGUGCAUUAGUUAGUUGGUGAGGUAAAGGCUCACCAAGACCGUGAUGCAUAGCCGACCUGAGAGGAUAAUCGGCCACACUGGGACUGAGACACGGCCCAGACUCCUACGGGAGGCAGCAGUAGGGAAUCUUCCACAAUGGACGAAAGUCUGAUGGAGCAACGCCGCGUGAGUGAAGAAGGUUUUCGGAUCGUAAAACUCUGUUGUUGGAGAAGAAUGUAUCUGAUAGUAACUGAUCAGGUAGUGACGGUAUCCAAACAGAAAGCCACGGCUAACUACGUG